rnacentral:rRNA from 1 species
AUGCGGGGAAAGCUUUGGGUCAGACUUGCUCCCUUUCUUUCUAAGCGUUAUGUCUCUUCCUCAUCAUCACCAUCAUGCUCGGCAAUCCAACCAUGGCUCUUUGUUGGCCUAGGUAACCCUGGUGAGAAGUACCAAUCCACCAGACACAACGUUGGGUUUGAUAUGAUAGAUGCAUUUGCAGACUCUCAGAACAUAUCCCUAACCAAAAAUCACUUCAAAGCACUAUUUGGUGAAGGGAUGGUUGAUGGCGUCCCUGUUUUGCUUGCCAAGCCUCAAACAUAUAUAAAUCUCAGCGGUGAAUCUGCUGGUGCACUUGCUGCCUAUUAUAAGCUUCCACUCCACCGUGUCGUAGUGGCAUAUGAUGACACAGACCUGCCAUGUGGAGUUCUUCGUUUACAACCUAAAGGGGGAUAUGGACGUCACAAUGGGUUGAAGAGUGUGAUAUACCAUUUUCGCAAGAACCGAGAAUUUGGCCGAUUAAGGAUUGGGAUUGGACGCCCGCCUGGUCAGAUGGAUCCCAAAGCUUUUGUGCUUCAGAAGUUCAACAAGACUGGUCGUGAACGGAUUGAUUCAGCCAUAAAAGAGGGUGCUGACAUCCUGAAGAUGGUGGUCAGCAAGGGUUUGACAGAGGCAGCAAGAGUGGCGAACGUGGAUCAGAAGUACAAGCAUCUGGUAUCACAUGACCAGCAGCUGUUGUAA